AGGAGCUUCUGUGUGAUGGAAUCCAAGUCCAGCCCUUCAGAAUGUGUCUUUUUCUCAGUGCACUUGGAAUGGACCAGAACGGAAGUCACAAACAAUCAUAGAAAACAAGAGACACCCCACCCCUUCCACAGCGAACAACGAACUCAACCGAAAAACAAAAAUGAAAAACUUCAAACGAAGCCCAGUGGUCGGGUUUUUUCUUCUUUUUUCUAAAAUCCAUGAUUAAAACCUGGUACAAACAGGUGAAUAUAUAGAUAUAUAUAUCUCUUUUAGUAGAUGUAAUAUUUUUCCUCUCUCUUUCUCUCUUUCUCAUUAUACAGCAAACAUUUGCAAAUAUAGAAUUUCUUUUCUCUCUGUACAAUAGAAUGGCAUCAGUUUUACAAUGUGAUGUUGCGACAGACCCUUUCCAUCCCCCCAAAAACGCACACAUGAGACUUCAGACCCCCAAUCGUCUAAACUGGAAGACUCCGUUUGCAAAAGGCCCAAAGAGUUGCCUCUUUUAUUUCGGCUAACUUCUUCUGAUUUACCCUUUUCAUGUUUUUACUUUUUGGUUACAGAAAGGAAGAGAACAAAACUGUACAGGGU
rnacentral:lncRNA from 1 species